GCACACGCUGAAAUGUCUCGCCUUCUUUACUAAUCAUUGAUAUUAUGUUGAUAGUCCUAAAUAUAAAGCUUUAUUACAACUGUCACAUAAACUUAACAUUAACCAAGUAAACUAAACAUUGACCAAUAAACCAUGAAAAUGAGGUCAAGGUCAGAUGAACCAUGCUAGGCAGGCAUGUACAGCUAACAAUUCUUCCAUACAACAAAUAUAGUUGACCUAUUGCUUAUAGUUUAAGAAAAACAGACCAAAACACAAAAACUUAACACUGAGCAAUGAACCUUGAAAAUGAGGUCAAGGUCAAAUAAAACCUGCGUGACUGCCAAAUAGAUCAUAAAAUAUUUCCAUACACCAAAUAUAGUUGAACUAUUGCAUAUAGUAUUAGAAAAAAAGACCAAAACUAAAAAAACUUAACUUUGACCACUGAACCAUGAAAAUGAGGUCAUGGUCAGAUGACACCUGCCCGCUAGACAUGUACACCUUACAAUCAUUCCAUACACCAAAUAUAGUAGACCUAUGGCAUACAGUAUAAGAAAAACAGACCAAAACACAAAAACUUAACUAUAACCACUGAACCAUGAAAAUGAGGUCAAGGUCAGAUGACACCUGCCAGUUGGACAUGUAGACCUUACAGUCCUUCCAUACACCGAAUAUACAAGACCUAUUGCUUAUAGUAUCUGAGAUAUGGACUUGACCACCAAAACUUAACCUUGUUCACUGAUCCAUAAAAUGAGGUCGAGGUCAAGUGAAAACUGUCUGACGGGCAUGAGGACCUUGCAAGGUACGCACAUACCAAAUAUAGUUGAACUAUUGCAUAUAGUAUUAGAAAAAAAGACCAAAACUCAAAAACUUAACUUUGACCACUGAACCAUGAAAAUGAGGUCAAGGUCAGAUGACACCUGCCCGCUAGACAUGUACACCUUACAAUCAUUCCAUACACCAAAUAAAGUAGACCUAUGGCAUACAGUAUAAGAAAAACAGACCA